UUUGUCGUCAAUGAAACUUUACUCCCAAACAGAGUGACGUAUAGAAAAUCGUGUUGCCCUUAGCCGUUCAUAGAAUGUUAGCUGCGGAAAAAAUUUUGCCAAAAAACACCUGUAUUCAUGGCCGAUUCGUCUAAAAGGAUGGUUGUCAAUCGAAAUUUUUGUACAAAUAAUUAAUACGAUUUUGCUGUUUCUAGCGCUCGAAAACGUCACGUCUUAUGACGUCUGUGAACGACACAGCUAUGCUGAAUUAUAUUUCUAUUUGUUCUAUGUGUAUUGCUUUGCUAUUUCGGUAAUAAUGUACUAGCCACAGGAGUAAGUACAAUGUCGGUUCGUUAAAAAGUUGUCGAGAGCGGGAGAUUGCUCUAGAUUCAGUAGAACCAAUCUUUAAAAAUACUUGAGUGUAAUGGUACUGCUUCGUUCUUAUCACAAAGUCCAUACAAAACAAUUGGUUUAAUUUUAAAUCAAGGACCCUAUUGAGGAAAGACUUAGGACAGAGAAAGAAAAAAUCCAUGGAAAGUAUAACGUUGGAGUGCACUGAAAGGACAUGAAUUACGAAACGCCCGCACUAUCGACAGCCGAGACUUAGUACCAGAGGUAAACAAACACCCGAGCAUAAGCGGAGACACAUUUUCCUUGACGCAUGUGCCAAAUUACACGCGUGUGCCGAUCGACAGGCAUGGCUUCAGUUUCAAAAUUCUGCGAAGACGUUGAGCAACGGGCCUCAUACAAUAGCAAAGUCGACGAUUCUAUCAUCAAACACCAAAAAUCAAAGCAAGUUGUGACGUUAUUAAUUUACCUUACGUCGGGCCCAUUUAGUGACUAAAGGGAUCAGAUUUACUUAGAAGUCCCAGCAAUGAAUAGUUGCGACGACCUCGGCGAAGUACGCAGCCUAUAUACACUCAGAAAGCCCGUAUACCGAUUGACUGUUUGGAAUAUCAAAGCCAAAAAUUUGGCCAAAUGGUACAGAAAUUUGCUCGGAAAUUAAAUUGACGAAACAGUGACAAUAGCGGCUUUCAAAGAAGCUAAUGCUGUAGAAAGUGACGAUACUCCCGUAAGGCAAACCCCGUGCGCCACUCUGCAAAAUAACUAAAGCCAGCGAGCAUUCUCCAGAUGCGAUCUGAUGCAAUCUUCAAGGGUGGCCAGUGCAUUCGUUGCAGGGACGUGGGCCCAACGUGUGGACGCAUCACCUCUGGAAAAAGAUUGUUGGAGUGAGUUUAAGGUUAAUUCUCUGGAGAUAUGCUAAUGCAUUAUACGUUAUCCAAAAUAGUACCAAUACUAGUAACAAAUGCGUUAAUUUUCAUACUUAUGAACUGACUUGAUGUGGUUCAUACCGGAUAUGUUGAAGUAACGAUAGAGGUGGAUUCCGGAUGCAAGGUGACUGAUGUACCAAUGUUUCAGUACAAAAAGUUAAUAUUCCUGUUAAACGUGACAAAUAACAAGAACGCGGUUCUGUAUUCGUUCAUUGAAGUUGAUGCUACGUAGAAUCGCUGACAGGGUUAUCACGGCGGUACCUUUUGGACGAUGUAGCUUUACCUGUCGAUGUGAGCAUCUCGCUGGGCUAAAAAAACCUUCAGAUUGAAGGGUGCCAUUGGUGUUGUGUCAAGAUCUAGAGUCAUUAAGCUGUCGGAACGUUAGCAAAGCCCAUUUACGUAUUGUAUAGUUUAAUUCUUACCCCAAAGCCUACAAGCCAAGAAUUGUGCGCGAGGUGAGUGAGUACGGUACAAAGUCAUUUAUAAACAACAGAAGGAAAAGAAUUGCACAAAGUGGAAGGAAAACCUGCAAAAAUAAAGAAUCGAAGUUCAGUUAAAACUGUGACGAAAUAAUGCAAAUAUCUGAGUCACCUCUAUUUCCGCCUUCAGUUUGUACAUAACGCAAAGAGAUAUCGAUUUACUUGCACCCAGGGCAGAGAGUGUAGUCAGUCGUUUGUUUGUGCACAACCAGUCCUGAAUGGAUCCACGAGUCAACAGAGGAAUCGAUUCCGGAUAACCGAUUACUGUCAAUGAAUGCAUCGAUUAGUACGACGCGUACUGAAAAAACCGGAUCACUUUCAUCGAUGGAGAAUCGAAGAAACCUAAAGGAAAUGUCGGCGCAUCAACAGUUGUCGACUGGAAAGUGGUCACGGAAUUUCUUUAAGCCUUCUCAGACUUACAGUGCCGUAAUCGCAAGUUUCGUCAAGAACGAGGAGGUAAGAGAAGCAGCUGGCCAGUCGAAGCGUUAUGGAGCACAUGAUGAACUCGUGGUCCUGGAUCAUUGCUUCUCGUUAUCACAUACAUUAUGUGGCCGGUUAAUGUCAUUCAGUUAUGCUACCGUGCUGCGUGCUAGAUCUGUUCCCAUAGCAGCCAUAUGUUGGCUAUGUUAACGGAUGAAAAUUGCAGGCUUACUCUCAGCUCUCAGUUACGCGGAAAAUAUGUCGUUUUUGCUCAAACAUAUUUUCAUUAUGUGGCACAUGUGUAUGGCCAUAAGAUCUGCGAAACCGUAGGGCGACAAAUGCGCGAGUAAUAUAGUCAUCCGCCCGCGCACACGAUUGAGGUUAGUCCACAUGUUGGCUUAUCGGAAUCAGGCAGGGGAUCAUCUUCAAUCAACAACGGCUUCUUUCACGAAAGAAAGAAAUUUACGAAUAUACCAGAAGCGCCGGAGAGAUAGAUGACGAGGACACAUGGAUGCGAAAUCGGUGCGAGUUUCAAGAACAGGCAACUGUGAGGCACUCCUGAGCUUAGGAGUCGGCUAAAGGAAACCUUUAAAAUCGGUUCAAUUGUCAUCAGGUUUCCUCUAAACCUAUGCUAAACAAUACUGUCUCCUCAAUUAUCGCCUCAUCAAUGGGAAAGCGGCAAAGCUUUGACUGGGCUUCAGCAUGAGCCUAGCAGGCCAUGUUAAACUGAUGCUCACAUUGAAUCGAUUUUUGAGGUUACACGAACCAUGUGAUUCUAAAAGGCUAAAACUACAAACGUACAACAGCGAUAGGUCGCCCACGAAAUACGUUGUAGCAAUUACCAGCAUCUCUAUACCGCUGACUCUCAAGAGCCGGAGUAGAUUAAGCAACAUCCGAAUUCGGUGUCCUCUCAUAGUCG
rnacentral:lncRNA from 1 species